CCGUCUCAUUAACCACUAACCCUACAGCUGCCCUUCCAACCAGGGGGUUGUUUCUAGAUCAAAAGAUCAGAUCAGGUCAUCACUCCUUUUUUAAAACCAGUCAAUGGCUACCCAUUGCUCUCAGGAUACAGGCUAAAAUUCUUGACAGGAUUUAAAAAGCUUUCACCUGGCCCUUUUGAAAUAAGAGAAUUUAUAAUCUUUUCAAAACCAACAGGAGUCCUGACACAAUCUUAAUUUUUCCAGCUGUCAAAGCUAUUUAAGAUUGAUGAGGUCUGCACUAAAUGAUCAACGAUGAUUAACUCUCUGCCUGAAUGGGUGUGAGUUUCAAGGGAAUUGUUUUUCUCCCUGUCCACGAAAAUAAUCCAUAACCAAUCUAUAAAUGAAAAUUUGGGUGAGUUUAUUCUGAGCUGAAAUCUGAGGACCAUGGCCAAGGGCCUUGCUUCCUAAAGGGAGAAAGGUCACCAAAGAAGUGAGGUAUACAGAGUGGUCAUACACCCCCAUACAGGAUGUUUCACAUAUGAUUGAAAUGUCCCUCCUACAAUAGUCACAAGAUUGCCCUAUUGGCACAGCGCUUGAUGGACACAGCAGGCAGUGGGUCUGCUCUCUCAGAGGGCGUAGCAGGAGGCAAGCCUAUUGUCUCGAGCUGGGUGGUCAUAGGUGAGCACAGCAAUCAGUUCCUAGCCUGAGGAAAGAUGCUUAAUCCUUAAGGGAAUGCCAACGUUGGGAGGGGGAGGGAAGUUGCACCUUUAUCUCAAGGGCCUUUGUUCUUGCCAUAGGGAAUCUCUAAAGCAGACAUACAAUGCAUGCUCAACAGUCACGGUCAGCCACUUUUGGAAAGACAAGGUCAGGCCGAAUUAGGUUUACACCAAAUGGCUUCCUCAUAUUCUCCAAUAUAUACUAUUGCUUGCCAUUUUUAUUUGUCAUUUUCCCCUUUUGAUCUCUAAUCUUUCGAUAGAAAGCAUUGAUGAUCAAAAUAUUGUCCCUCGGUGCCAGGGUGGUUGCUGCCUGCCCUGGGUCCACCAUGUCCCUCGGUGCUAGGCUUUUAUCUCAUUAUUUGCUUAGUCAUCCACGUUGGUGGGAAAUAGUGGACAAGCAUGGAUAUAUAUGUAUUAACAGAGGAAGCAUUUCAUAUGUCAUGUAAUUUAUAAUUAAUUUUAGAUUGUUUCACAAACGUAUAUGUGCUUCUCUAUGACAUUUUGCAUUUACAUUGUAUAUGAUUAUAGAACAAGUACAGUAAUAAUAAUUCAAUAUUUUUGAAGAUAUUAGUUUAAAAUGAGUUCUUAGGUAAAGUCUUUAUCAGAAAAGGAAAUUUGUCCAGGAUUAUAAGAUAGAUCGACCAUUUUAAGCCAUCAAGCAAUCAUUACUUUAGUUUGUAUGCUACUCUUACAAUACCGAGUAAAGAAAACAAUAAUUAGUUUGAAUAUUAUGACCAGUACAAGGAUUCCAAUAAGUAAUAGAAAUAGGAAUUGCAAUCCGGAUCGAAAAAGGGAACUGAUACUGAAAAGGGAGCCAAGCAAACAAAUCAAAGGGGGUGCAGGAUUCACAUAAGGCAGCCACUUGCUUCUUCAUGUGCUUUAGCAGAGAUGACACAUUGGAAGAUUCAUCACAUAUAAAAACACAGCAUUCAGUCUGAAUGAUUGUAUAUGUACCACCUUGGGAUGCAGUAAGAAUAUCUAAAGCCAUGCUGUUUUGAAGGACAGCCCUUCUCAUUAAAGACAUUUCACUAUUUAAAUAAGGGUAUUCCUGCUUGACUAUCAUUAAGGGCUUCUUGAGUAAAUGUAGUCAGAGAUUCCAUAUGUAAUAACGACAUCUUUUAGCCCCAAAGAAGAAGCACAUAUAGUUGCUAAUAUAGCCUUACCAGUGGAGCACUGAACGAGCCCAUCUGGCCUUAAAGAGAGGGAGAUUGGCAACAGGUUUUAACUCAGCCUGACUCCCUCUCUGCUUUUAAAGGAAACUCAGGGUGUAGUGUUUUAGCCAUCCAGGCAGUAGCCAAGGCCAAAGAUUUGUUCCACAUAACCAUUGAGUUCCAUUAGGAGUCACUCAAUAAAUUCCUGGCCUUCAAGAUCAGUCUGUUCCAAAUGAAUCCCUUUCUUUAAGUAUGAUAGUAUUCCAAACAAAUUAUAAAAUAGGUAUACAGUUUAAGCAUAACAAAAGUUUAAAUGAGGAGAUAUAAGGUCAGGAAUACAGGCCUGGUCCGGAGUCUUGGGACAGCUGUCUACAACAGAUGCCGUCUUCUUCUCCUCCUGGUAUGGUCCCUUCCAACAGGGCUGCAAACAGUCUUAUUUGAUGUCUCUUUCAAUAAAUAAACUCUCCAGGUUAUAGUCCAAGAUCCUUAAGUUCUGGGAGCUCUCUGAGAAAGAAUCAGCUACCAAUCUUUCAUUUCUUUAAGCACCUCAAUAAGACCAUGACAACAAUUUAAUAUACCCCUUAAGCAAAGCUUGGUUCAUAUAUUUCUUCAUCUAAUUGCAUAGGCUGUUUUAUUAUUAUUUCAAAAGGAGACAGCUGAUGUUUACAAAAUGUGUAGAUCUAACAUUAAGGAGCGCUAGCACAAGAGCUUUGGGCCAUGAGAGAGUAAAUGCUUCUGAAAUCUUUGCCAAUUAAGUUUUGGUUGUGCCAUUAGUUCUUUCUACGAAUCCUGAGGAUUGAGGAUGGUAAGUGCAGUGGAAAUGCAGCAAUAUUUGCCAAACAUUACAAAUAGAUUCAAUUAUUUAUCCGGUGAAAUGAGUUUCCCAGUCACAACGUAACUCGGUAGGAAUUCCUCAAACAGGAAUUUAUUCUUUUCAAUAAUAAUUUAUCUAAAGCCAUCACUCUUCUGCAAGGAAAAGCCUCAAAACAAUGUGAGAAUAUACAGAUCAUUACAAGAUGUAUUUAUCCUUGAGAUGUUCCUAGCCUGAGGAAAGAUGCUUAAUCCUUAAGGGAAUGCCAACGUUGGGAGGGGGAGGGAAGUUGCACCUUUAUCUCAAGGGCCUUUGUUCU
ensembl:lncRNA